rfam:Gossypium raimondii Chr09_contig_1767, whole genome shotgun sequence.
UGUUGAAAAUUUCAUCAAAUUCUAUAGUUAAAAACUGACGCGACUGACGGAAUAACAAGACAAUUACACAUGGCUUGUCAUAUAUACCUCAUGCUGACAUAUAGAAACUAGAUUUUAAUAUUAGAAAUUGAUGAGAUUUUUAUUA